GACGAGCUGUGCAAACGUUAUUCGGAAUUACUGGGCUCAAAGAGUUCGUAGGCGGCGCGUUAGGUGGGGUGUGAAAUCCCUCGGCUCAACCGAGGAAUGGCGCUCCAAACCGGCGUGCUUGAGGAAGGUAGAGGUGAGCGGAACUGAUGGUGGAGCGGUGAAAUGCGUUGAUAUCAUCAGGAACACCGGAGGCGAAGGCGGCUCACUGGGCCUUUUCUGACGCUGAGGAACGAAAGCCAGGGUAGCGAACGGG
rnacentral:rRNA from 1 species